UUAAGUUAGAAAGGGCGCACGGUGGAUGCCUUGACACUAGGAGUCGAUGAAGGACGGGACUAACGCCGAUAUGCUUCGGGGAGCUGUAAGUAAGCUUUGAUCCGAAGAUUUCCGAAUGGGGAAACCCACCAUACGUAAUGGUAUGGUAUCCUUAUCUGAAUACAUAGGGUAAGGAAGACAGACCCAGGGAACUGAAACAUCUAAGUACCUGGAGGAAGAGAAAGCAAAUGCGAUUUCCUGAGUAGCGGCGAGCGAAACGGAACAUAGCCCAAACCAAGAGGCUUGCCUCUUGGGGUUGUAGGACAUUCUAUACGGAGUUACAAAGGAACGAGGUAGACGAAGCGACCUGGAAAGGUCCGUCGUAGAGGGUAACAACCCCGUAGUCGAAACUUCGUUCUCUCUUGAAUGUAUCCUGAGUACGGCGGAACACGUGAAAUUCCGUCGGAAUCUGGGAGGACCAUCUCCCAAGGCUAAAUACUCCCUAGUGAUCGAUAGUGAACCAGUACCGUGAGGGAAAGGUGAAAAGCACCCCGGAAGGGGAGUGAAAGAGAUCCUGAAACCGUGUGCCUACAAAUAGUCAGAGCCCGUUAACGGGUGAUGGCGUGCCUUUUGUAGAAUGAACCGGCGAGUUACGAUCCCGUGCGAGGUUAAGCUGAAGAGGCGGAGCCGCAGCGAAAGCGAGUCUGAAUAGGGCGUUUAGUACGUGGUCGUAGACCCGAAACCAGGUGAUCUACCCAUGUCCAGGGUGAAGUUCAGGUAACACUGAAUGGAGGCCCGAACCCACGCACGUUGAAAAGUGCGGGGAUGAGGUGUGGGUAGCGGAGAAAUUCCAAUCGAACCUGGAGAUAGCUGGUUCUCCCCGAAAUAGCUUUAGGGCUAGCCUUAAGUGUAAGAGUCUUGGAGGUAGAGCACUGAUUGGACUAGGGGUCCUCAUCGGAUUACCGAAUUCAGUCAAACUCCGAAUGCCAAUGACUUAUCCUUAGGAGUCAGACUGCGAGUGAUAAGAUCCGUAGUCAAAAGGGAAACAGCCCAGACCGCCAGCUAAGGUCCCAAAGUGUGUAUUAAGUGGAAAAGGAUGUGGAGUUGCUUAGACAACUAGGAUGUUGGCUUAGAAGCAGCCACCAUUUAAAGAGUGCGUAAUAGCUCACUAGUCGAGUGACUCUGCGCCGAAAAUGUACCGGGGCUAAAUACACCACCGAAGCUGCGGAUUGAUACCAAUGGUAUCAGUGGUAGGGGAGCGUUCUAAGGACAGUGAAGUCAGACCGGAAGGACUGGUGGAGUGCUUAGAAGUGAGAAUGCCGGUAUGAGUAGCGAAAGACGGGUGAGAAUCCCGUCCACCGAAUGCCUAAGGUUUCCUGAGGAAGGCUCGUCCGCUCAGGGUUAGUCAGGACCUAAGCCGAGGCCGACAGGCGUAGGCGAUGGACAACAGGUUGAUAUUCCUGUACCACCUCUUUAUCGUUUGAGCAAUGGAGGGACGCAGAAGGAUAGAAGAAGCGUGCGAUUGGUUGUGCACGUCCAAGCAGUUAGGCUGAUAAGUAGGCAAAUCCGCUUAUCGCAAAGGCUGAGCUGUGAUGGGGAAGCUCCUUAUGGAGCGAAGUCUUUGAUUCCCCGCUGCCAAGAAAAGCUUCUAGCGAGAUAAAAGGUGCCUGUACCGCAAACCGACACAGGUAGGCGAGGAGAGAAUCCUAAGGUGUGCGAGAGAACUCUGGUUAAGGAACUCGGCAAAAUGACCCCGUAACUUCGGGAGAAGGGGUGCUUUCUUAACGGAAAGCCGCAGUGAAUAGGCCCAAGCGACUGUUUAGCAAAAACACAGCUCUCUGCGAAGCCGUAAGGCGAAGUAUAGGGGGUGACACCUGCCCGGUGCUGGAAGGUUAAGGAGAGGGGUUAGCGUAAGCGAAGCUCUGAACUGAAGCCCCAGUAAACGGCGGCCGUAACUAUAACGGUCCUAAGGUAGCGAAAUUCCUUGUCGGGUAAGUUCCGACCCGCACGAAAGGUGUAACGAUUUGGGCACUGUCUCAACCAGAGACUCGGUGAAAUUAUAGUACCUGUGAAGAUGCAGGUUACCCGCGACAGGACGGAAAGACCCCGUGGAGCUUUACUGUAGCCUGAUAUUGAAUUUUGGUACAGUUUGUACAGGAUAGGCGGGAGCCAUUGAAACCGGAGCGCUAGCUUCGGUGGAGGCGCUGGUGGGAUACCGCCCUGACUGUAUUGAAAUUCUAACCUACGGGUCUUAUCGACCCGGGAGACAGUGUCAGGUGGGCAGUUUGACUGGGGCGGUCGCCUCCUAAAGUGUAACGGAGGCGCCCAAAGGUUCCCUCAGAAUGGUUGGAAAUCAUUCGUAGAGUGCAAAGGCAUAAGGGAGCUUGACUGCGAGACCUACAAGUCGAGCAGGGACGAAAGUCGGGCUUAGUGAUCCGGUGGUUCCGCAUGGAAGGGCCAUCGCUCAACGGAUAAAAGCUACCCCGGGGAUAACAGGCUUAUCUCCCCCAAGAGUCCACAUCGACGGGGAGGUUUGGCACCUCGAUGUCGGCUCAUCGCAUCCUGGGGCUGUAGUCGGUCCCAAGGGUUGGGCUGUUCGCCCAUUAAAGCGGUACGCGAGCUGGGUUCAGAACGUCGUGAGACAGUUCGGUCCCUAUCCGUCGUGGGCGUAGGAAAUUUGAGAGGAGCUGUCCUUAGUACGAGAGGACCGGGAUGGACGCACCGCUGGUGUACCAGUUGUUCUGCCAAGGGCAUAGCUGGGUAGCUAUGUGCGGAAGGGAUAAGUGCUGAAAGCAUCUAAGCAUGAAGCCCCCCUCAAGAUGAGAUUUCCCAUAGCGUAAGCUAGUAAGAUCCCUGAAAGAUGAUCAGGUUGAUAGGUUCGAGGUGGAAGCAUGGUGACAUGUGGAGCUGACGAAUACUAAUAGAUCGAGGACUUAACCAU
rnacentral:rRNA from 2 species